CAGUUAGUCAAUUAAGACUUUUAUUUUUGCGGGCCCACUUCCUGUUUUCCCCAAACUCCUCAACUUAUUUAAGCCCCGCCUCCAGCCAGGUUAAACAACAUCACCUGUUCCGCUGUGAUUGUGGCUGGCUGUUGGCGCUCUGCUGAACAUUUUCACCCUGGAAAUUAACCCAAUUCUCUGCAUCUACUCAUUUGAUCUCUUGAACUGUUGCCGUUUGUACCUGGGCCGUCACCAAGCUUGCAGUUUGGUACGCCCCACUCUCUGCAAAGGUCGGGUUUUUUUAUAUGAUGGAUCAGAUCCUCUUCUGAACCAAAGGAUGGCGAGCUAAAGGAAAAGAACUCUAUGAUCUUUGCAUUUAUUUUGAAUUGUCUCUCACUGUGUAUUUGUAAUUUUUUUGUUUGUUUUUUCCCCUUAUGUUUUUCCCUGUUCCCAAAAAAAAAAAAAAAAAAUUCAAUACAUUGGCACGAAACACUAACUAAAACAGUUUCCUUGUGUUUUCAUUCACACUUCAGGCUCCUCAAAGAACCGGUUUCUGACAUCGCAGUUAGCUGCCUAGCCCAUAACUGU